GAACUGCAUGGCGACAUGCAGAUCUAAGCAGAAAUGUUUAUUCGCAAUUUUGUAGUUUUAGAUUUUGGUUUUCGAAUUUAUUUAGAAAUUAGAAAUUCGGAUUUAGAAAUUAUAAUUUUGUAGUAACAAAAUUGUAGAUACCCUUGUAGUCCACGCCCUAAACUAUGCAGAUUAGCUAUUGGGAGCAUCGACCCUUCCAGUGGCGAAGCUAACGCGUUAAAUCUGCCGCCUGGGAAGUACGAGCGCAAGCUUAAAACUCAAAGAAAUAGGCGGGAAUUCGCACAAGCGGUGGAUCAUGUGGUUCAAUUCGACACUAAGCGAGGAACCUCACCAAGGCUUGAAAUCCAGCUGCAUACUCCAGAAACGGAGUCGCCUUUGAGGGUGCUGGACAGGUGCUGCACGGCUGUCGUCAGCUCGUCACGUGAGUGGUAUUCUUAAGUGAAUUAACGAGCGCAACCCCCGUUGUCUGUUAUAUUUGUCAGGCGAGACUGCUUCCGUAAGGGAGAGGAAGGAGGGGAUGACGUCAAGUCAGCGUGGCCCUCUGAUGCCUUGGGCUACACACAUGAUACAAUGGUCGUUACAAUGGGUUGCUAAACCGUAAGGUGGAGCUAAUCCCAUCAAAAGCG
rnacentral:rRNA from 1 species